AACCCAGGCAGCAAGGUUGCAGGGAGCCAAGAUCACACCACUGCACCCCAGCCUGGGUGACACAGCAAGACUCCGUCUCAAUUAGAAAAGAAAAAAACCCAUGGAAUAUUGUUCCCAUGAGAACUUCCUUAGGAAUCUGCUGGAAAAUGAGGCUCAGACAACCAAAAUGACUAGGGAGAUAUUAACACAAGACUAGCGGUGAGCAUUAAGUAUGUCUUUAUUGUUUAUAUAAUGAAGAUUAAAAGGACAGUGUAGUAAGCAAUGACAGACAGGUAUUUAAAUAACUUACCUGACCAUUGGGAGGGAUGAAGAAACUUCAGAGCCACAUUGCAAUUAAAAAGCUGUCUAGCAAAAAAGAGAAAACUGCGGCUACAGUUGCAGGCUCUAUAACCCCACCAUUUCUGCUCUGAUCCAUACCAGAAAAUGGAUGCUUCAUGGACCGUCUCUCUCUCAAUUUAAGUCAAUUCCAAAUCCAAAUCUCACCGAUUAAUGGACAUUAAUUCCUAUCUGGAAUCCUAACUGUAAAGGAAUUGGAGAAAAUGCAGUAUUUAGCUUUUGAGUUUCACAAAUAUGGGAAGGCACACUAGAAGGAGGUGCAGUAGAGGUUGAGCAAGUCUAUCUACAAUUACCAAAAGGAACUUCCUUAGGGAGGAACAGACAUCUUCCAAAAACCUACUACAAAUUUGCUACUUGUCAGUGAAAUGUAAGGAUUUAACAUCAGUCACAAGAGAAGUCUGAUGUAUCUAUUAAACAUUAUACUGAAUGUUCUAAGUACAAUAAAAUAAGGAAGUAUAAACAUUGGAAAGAAACAAAUGAUUCAUUACUGUUACUAUUCAAAAGUGAUGUGACUGUCUACAUAGAAAAAUCUAAAAUAAUCUAUAGGCCCCAGAAUUAUUAAGAAAGUUUGGCAAGCCUUCUGAAUGUAAGAUAAAUAUACAGAAGUCAAUUACACUCCAAUGUAUCAGUAAUAGGAAAUUAGAAUAAAUUGGAUGCAGGGGCUCAUGCCUAUAAUCCCUGCUUUAUAAAAAAAUUUUAAGAGAUAUUAGAAUAAGUAAUUUUAAAAAUACCCCUUAGACACAAAUCUAGCAAAAGAUGUAUAAGAACACUAUUUUAAAAAUCAUAAAAUUUUCCAGCCUGGACAUGGUGAAACCCUAUCUCUACUAAAAAAUACAAAAAUUAGCAGGGCAUGGUGGCACAUGCCUGUAGUCCCAGCCACUCAGGAGGCUAAGGCACGAGAAUUGCUUGAAGCCAGGAGGUGGAAGUUGCAGCGAGCUGAGAUCAUACCACUGCACUCCAGCCUGGGUGACAGGGUGAGACUCUGUCUCAAAAAACAACAACAAAAAUACAAAUCAUAAAAUCUUAAAAACAUUUGGGGUGUAAUUUAGCAACUUCUAGUAAGUUUGAAAAUGCAUACCUUACAGCCCAAUAAUUAAAAUCCUAGGUUUAUACCUAAAAACACUCUCCCAGAUUGGACAAGAAGGUAAGUAAGAACGUUCAUUGAAGUUUACAAUAGCAAAGACUGGAUAUCUAAGUGACCAUCUACGGGGAAAUACAUAAACCGUGGUAUAGGCCUACAACAAAAUGCUAUAUAGCAGGCAAAACAAAUAAACAAGAACCUCAUUUAUCAACAUAGUAUUUUUUUUUUAAAAAAAAAAGGUACGCUACCAAAGGCUACACACAUCAUGACGCCUCCUAAGUAAAAUGACUAAACAUGCAAAAUAAAAUAUGGCUAUGGAUACUGACAUACAUACAUU
rnacentral:lncRNA from 10 species